GGCAAAUAUGCCAUCAAAUCAGAGUCAAAGUUCUUUAUGCAGGGAAGUGUGAGAAAUAGCUGGGGACAAGCUUUGAGGAGUUUGAAAGGGUAAAGAAAUGACAAAAUUUAACUGCAGCAGCAGAAACAGGAUGGAUUGACUGUACCCAAAUACUGGAAUGCAACUCCAAUAAGGCUAUUCAGUUAUCUAACACCAUUAACGGCCUAGUGUGGUAAAUGUUAAGCCAAGAGGAUCCAGAAGAGUAAACUGAGAGCAUGUUCUCAUUGAAAUCUAUCCCUGGACAUUCUGCAGGGCAUGUGUGACUUGUCCCAGCUGUUGGCACCCAGAGGUCCAUGAGACAAGGAGAAAAUGCAAUCAGAAUCUAAAUCCCUGGAUUUCUCAAACUCAGAAGUGGGAAUCUUCCUCUGAAACAGAUGGCAAGCUGCAGGAAGCCAGGCAGAAACAACAGUUACAUUUUACAGUGAGAGUGAUUAACGAGUGCAAGAGGCUGUCCAGAGGAGGGACUAGAUUAGCUUUCAUUUGAAAUCUUCAUUUGAAAUUUGGCUUCCUUUCGUAGAGAAAAUCUAUGCCAAAAUGAACUUGUUGGGCCAACUUAAAACAGGUCAGAGUGUGGCAGUAAGUAGAGCCUGUGAUAGCCAGUAGAUUAAACUAAAUUAUCUAAAGCACCUUCUGACCCUUAAGGUGUGCAUGACUCCAUGAAGCCAAGACAGUGCAGUUGUAAAUAAAUGCUUUGAGAGUUGCCGCACACCUCAACCGAUCUCCUCCACAAUCUCUGCAGAGGACUUGAAAGAAAGUUCCUCUAAUAGCUCACUGGUCAUGGACAAUGAUAGAAGUUCUUGGUGAGAAGAACUCGAAAGAUAAGAAAUUAAUCCAGAAAGGCAUUAAAGAAGAGACAAGAGAAGUGUAGAAAAAUAUAUGAAAAUUAAUCUAAUUAUAGAAAGACACCUGGAACAGUUUGGAAGUUAAGUAAGUGGAAGUACCUCCAAAUUAGAGUUUCCUACAACAGAAAGAGGAUUGACAUAUCCUGUUUAAAAUGGUUUACUUCCUGACAAUGAGGCUCAAAUUAAAAUAUUCAUUUGAACUUCUUUAGGGUAAAAAGUAAAAAAACUACAAAGAACUGGACAAGGAAAAAAAAGAGAUUGAGGCAUUUUCACUGAAAUUCUGUCUGACCUUCAAGUAACGGACAGAACUUUGAAAGAUGUCAGAAACAAAUAGCAUCAGUUUCUUCGGAGUCAGAAUAAGUCUUUAUCUUUCCUUAAGCAUGCCUGCACACAUGCUAGCUUGGAGAAGCCAGCAGGCUUUUCAUAAACUCCUGAAGACUCUCAACCAAAUUGUACAAAGUGUUUUCAAAUAACACAUAGCACAGAGGAGAAAACUCAUUAAAGUUAAUUGGCCCACCUAGAGAGUCUUCUCUGUGCCAAAAGGUGCUUUAAAAAAAAAAAAAAAAAAAAACAGAUCUGUUGCUAGCACUGAUCAAAGUCAAAACUGUUGAAUUCUUGGUCAAAUUUUCCAAAAUUUUUACUUUUACCCAGGUCUGAGGAAAAACUGAAUGAGGGAAUAACUGGUAUGCAGGUAACCUGCUAGGCUUUAUUUUCAGGAUUUUUUUUUAAAAAAAAACCCAAACUAUUAUUUUUCAAGGAAUGUUUGUUAGAAAUCUUUAAGGAGAACGCUGCUGAAAGAUCUGAUUUUUGCACCUGGGUGACAUCAAGCAAGUCCUUAAUUCUGCAAAUUUUCAGGUAUGCACUUAGCUUUGUGCAAGUAAGCAGUCAGAUUGAAAUCAACAGAACAAGUCAAAGUAAAUAUACAUUCCCCCCCAGCAGAGCCAAAGAGAAAUAAAUAACAUACGAAUAAAACAAAGCACGUGCAUGUGUUUCCAGGAAGGAGAUACCUUGCUGACCAUCUGGACUUCUUAAUUUUCAUGUUCACAAAAAUAC